UACGCAGGUCGCUAGCGGUGUUCGGAAUUACUGGGCGUAAAGCGCCCGUCGGCGGCCUUGUAAGAUGGGGGUGAAAUCCCCGGGCUCAACCCGGGAACUGCCUUCAUGACUGCAAAGCUAGAGGAUGCGAGAGGUUAGCGGAAUUCCGGGUGUAGAGGUGAAAUUCGUAGAUAUUCGGAAGAACACCAGUGGCGAAGGCGGCUAACUGGCGCCUUUCUGACGCUGAGGUGCGAAAGCCUGGGGAGCAAACAGG
rnacentral:rRNA from 1 species